GCGGCCGUGCCGGCGUGCUUACCAUGCAGUCGAACGAUGACUUCUGUGCUUGCACAGAAUGAUUAGUGGCGAACGGGUGAGUAACACGUGAGUAACCUGCCCUUGACUUCGGGAUAAGCCUGGGAAACCGGGUCUAAUACCGGAUACGACCUCCUGGCGCAUGCCAUGGGGGUGGAAAGCUUUAUGCGGUUUUGGAUGGACUCGCGGCCUAUCAGCUUGUUGGCGGGGUAAUGGCCCACCAAGGCGACGACGGGUAGCCGGCCUGAGAGGGUGACCGGCCACACUGGGACUGAGACACGGCCCAGACUCCUACGGGAGGCAGCAGUGGGGAAUAUUGCACAAUGGGCGAAAGCCUGAUGCAGCGACGCCGCGUGAGGGACGAAUGCCUUCGGGUUGUAAACCUCUUUCAGCAGGGAAGAAGCGAAAGUGACGGUACCUGCAGAAGAAGCGCCGGCUAACUACGUGCCAGCAGCCGCGGUAAUACGUAGGGCGCAAGCGUUAUCCGGAAUUAUUGGGCGUAAAGAGCUCGUAGGCGGUUUGUCGCGUCUGCUGUGAAAGCCCGGGGCUCAACCCCGGGUCUGCAGUGGGUACGGGCAGACUAGAGUGCAGUAGGGGAGACUGGAAUUCCUGGUGUAGCGGUGAAAUGCGCAGAUAUCAGGAGGAACACCGAUGGCGAAGGCAGGUCUCUGGGCUGUAACUGACGCUGAGGAGCGAAAGCAUGGGGAGCGAACAGGAUUAGAUACCCUGGUAGUCCAUGCCGUAAACGUUGGGCACUAGGUGUGGGGGACAUUCCACGUUUUCCGCGCCGUAGCUAACGCAUUAAGUGCCCCGCCUGCGGAGUACGGCCGCACGGCUAAUACUCAAAGGAAUUGACGGGGGGCCCGCACAAGCGUUGGAGCAUGCGGGUUAAUUCGAUGCAACGCGAAGCAAACUUACCAAGGCUUGGCGUGAAC
rnacentral:rRNA from 1 species